rnacentral:lncRNA from 1 species
CUCAAAAAAAAAAAAAAGAAAAAGAAAAAAAGAAAUACUAUGGUUCUAAUACUUGUGUUCAUUUGUCAAUUAGAUGUAUGGCACUAUUAAUUUCAGUUUAAUUCAGUUUAGUACAUGUUUUUCGAGUACCUACUGUGUACAAGGAACUGUGUGGGGUACCUUCUGAGCACUUCACCUGCUCUCCAGAGAUGCCUACUGAGUGUUUCAUUGCAGAAAAGAAGUGCUAUGGCAUGUUGGAAGAAGGGGGACUCAUAUCUAGCUUUGGUCUGUUGAACCAAAUAAACAGAUCUGUUUGUUCUUCCCUACUAGAUCUUAGUGCUCACAGAAAAAGGGCUGUCAUUCACUUUGUAUACCCAGUAUCUGGGAGGUGCUUGGCACAUGGUGGGUAACCAACAAAUAUCUGUUAAAUGGAUCACAUUGGGUGAGCACAAAGAUGUGAUGGAAAUCUGUGAGGCGGGCAGAGGAAAGUGUAGGGCUCUUGACUGUCAGUGAUGGAUGUGAGGAUACUUCUGGUAAGGAGACUAUUGUGUAGGCUCAGACACCCGCAGGAGGGCAACCAGAAGUUCAGCAUGGGUGAGCCCAGGGAUUCCCUUGCCAGGGUUAGCAAACUAGGGUCCACAGGCCAACCACAUCCAUUCAUGUACCUGUGGUCUCUGGCAACUCUUGUGCCACGUCAGCAGAGAUGAGUAGAUGCAGCAGAGAGGAGUUGCGGUGUAUAGAUAGCCUGGUAAGCCGAAAAGACUUAGUAUUUGUUUCUUUAUGGAAAGUGUUUGCUGAACUCUGCCAUAGAGGCACAGAACAAAAAUGAGCGCAGUUACCUUAGGGGGCCCCAUUGCAAAGUGACGAUGCAUACUUGGUUCUCUUUUGAUCAGGAGACGACUGACCUGAUUGGAGAUAUGUAAGGUUUAGGAAAGUUGACAUGAGAAUGAUUCAGUGGACUGGAGCUUUUGGGAAAGGGACCAAGUAUGAGAAAACCAAUUAGGAGUAUAUUACAGCCAUCUGUUCAGGCAUCAUUGAAGAAAGAGCAUCAUUUUGAGUCUUAUCUAAGCGUUGGGGUUGGCAAGUAUUACCUCCUAGGCCAGAAAGCCUUGUCCUUCUCCCAGUCCCAGUUCAUGUCACUAGAUUGGGGGUCCACCUCACAGCUCCAGAAACCUCAGGUCAACCCCACCCAAUCGGUCACAUGCUAACUUCCUCUCUGGUGAUCUUUGCACAAACAUAUAACUCACAGCAUGGUGUCUGGUUCUUGCUGACAUCAACUUUGUAACUGUUUUCAGAUUAUUUUUUCUUUUCUCCACAGUAACUCUCAGGCUUCUUGAGGUCAGAACCAUGCAUUCUUGUUUUGCUGCCACCUCCCCACCUGCCUGCCCCUCAUGCUGUGUCGAGUCCGCAUGUGAGAAAUAAGAUGAGAGUCACUGGCAGCAAAGUGAGUGCCGACAUUUAAAUAUGGAAGCAAGUCUGGGGCCCCAGACUCCAAGCGCCUAGUACCUGUGGCCUUGCUCACUGUUUUUCAUAUGCUGUCCUCUGGUCUUGUUUGUAAAGUGACCUGUUGCACAACCUGUCAGUACCCUGAAGGUCAGUGACUGUGUCCACACCUCUUUGUGUUCUCGGUGGUUAGCAUAAUAUUUUUAACAUAACGGACUCUUUUUAAAUGUUUGGUGAUGACACAGUCACUGAGCAGGAUGUGCUGUAAGAAGAAAACAUACUCUCCCUCAUUCUGUGAAUUAGUCAGAAUAUAUCAGGUUAAUAACGGUAAGAGCAAGCUUCUGUUGGUCUGAUGCACCAGCAUCUAUUGGAUCAAGCAAUUAAACCCAUGUCAGUCAUUUUGGUACAAUAGAACUAAAAUUAGACACAGCAUAAAUACAAUCAAGACGUGAGCACGUUUCCCAGCAUUAGCCUUACGAUGACAAAGGCAAAUGCAGAAGUGUGCGAACUUCCAGGACAGGUCCGGAGAUGGCUGUUCCAGAGAAGAGCCAGGGUGGAUGGCAGGAAGCGGCAGCUGGGAUGGAACCUCCAGUCCAUAUGUGGCACCUCUUUUACAUCUUCAUCGUAAGCGCUACCAGGAGUUUGAAAUGCAAAAGUUUUAGAAAUAUAAACCAGGCUUUACUUAGUAAUAUUCAUUAAUGACCUAAACCAAGAGAGAAUCUCCUACUUAAUGAAGUGAUUAAUUAGCUCUGGGAAUUGAAGUCGAAAACAGAAGACUAAUUGAUUAAUAGAUUACUGUGUUCAUUUUUCUUCCUUUCGUGGAAAGGAGCCAGAAUUUGGUCCAUGCCAGGUUUGCUGCUUUGGGCUAGCACCAUGCUGCCUGGAAUCUGUUCUCGCCUUUCCCACGUAGCCUGUCUGCUUCCCAUCCUCAUGCCUUUCUUCCUGCCCUCUCCACAGGUGGAAGGCCUUCCGUUUAAAACCUUGCUCUUUCAGGCUCAGCACGCAUCUCAUCCCCAGGAUGGAUUUGCGCUCUUCUGACACUACCGAGCUCUCCUUUAAGUCACCGUUUUACCUAAUCAAUACCAUACGGCUUAGCAUUUAAUUUUUCUUAUUGCUUUAUGUGUGGAAUAAUGGAAAAGAAUUAAAAGAUUGAAAAACCAAACACCCACCUCACUCCACAUUAGGUGUGUCAAAUCUGAGCUGAUGAGAGGCCUUCCCCACCACAGCUCUGAGCACCAAAUGAGAUGAUGUAGGGAAGAUUCCUUAUAAACUAAAAAGUGCCGCACAACAUUUAGUUAUUGGCACCGUCUUUUUUAUAUAUUAAUCUUAACUUCUCUACUAUAUUUGUAAUUAAAAUCUCCAGCCAAAAGUCAGCAAAUUUUUCUUUUUUUUUUUUUUGAGACAGUCUCACUCUGUCAUCCGGGCUGAAGUGCAGUAGGCUCAUCUCACUGCAACCUCUGCCUCCUCAGCUCAAACGAUUGUUCUGCCUCAGCCUUCCGAGUAGCUGAGAUGACAGUGCAUGCCAUCACACCCGGCUAAUUUUUGUAUUUUUAGUAGAGACAGGGUUUCAUCAUAUUGGUCAGGCUGGUCUCGAACUCCUGACCUCAGGUGAUCCACCCAUCUCGGCCUCCCAAAGUGCUGCUGGGAUUACAGGUGCGAGCCACCGCUCCCAGCCACAAGUAAUUGCUUUCUUUGUUCUUACCUAAAAGAUAAGCCAAAGUAAAAUAGAAUAUAUUUACUACUUAACACCUAUGAAACUAGAUUGUUCUAAUGUAUAAAGGAAAUUAACCAAUAUGUUUUAUAUAUUAUACAAAUGUACAAAUAUUUUCCCGAGAAUCUGGCAAUGUUUCUAAAAAGCAGCUCAUUCUUUGUUGUUGUUUUCUGAUUAUAAAAGCUAGUGAGUCAGUACCACUUCUGAAAUGGCAGUCACUACAUUAGGAUCCUGCAGCAGUGAUUCAGCACCAGAUUAGUGACACUCUGCAGUGUUACUAGUUGUCACAAAGGGUAGAUCAAAAAGUAUAAAAUUAAUUAAAAACUAUGUAUGUGUACAGUUCUUCUAAAGGUCAGUUUUUCAAAUCAUAUCCCCAGCCAUGAAUAUUUUUAUAUCCUUUUACCUGAUGAUCUCAUUCCUUAAAAUUAUAAGUAAUUAAUUUUUUAAAAGCUAUAUGUGUAUAUGUGAUUAUCCAACUGUUUCUAAAGAUUAAAUAUUAAAAACAACCAAAAUCAGCAAAUGAGCAGUGACAAAGUUUAUAAGAUGGAAUAUUAAUAAUUGGUGGACUUGAUUAUAAGUAGAAAGACCAAAACUAUGCAAGGGUAACUAUAGGCUAUCAAGUGACAAAAAGAAUGCAAAAUUAUAUGAUACUAUGAUUACAACUAUGUAUUUAAGGAGUUAAAUGAAAAUUUAUUGUGUUAGAGUUAGAGUGUGGAGUUUUUUUGUUUUGUUUUUUUUUUUUAAGAAGGAGUCUCGCUCUGUUGCCCAGGCUGGAGUGCAGUGGCGCAAUCUCGGCUCACUGCAACCUCUGCCCCCCAACAAGGUUCAAGCGAUUCUUCUGCCUCAGCCUCCUGAGUAGCUGGGAUUACAGGAUCCUGCCACUACACCCAGCUAAUUUUUGUAUAGCAGCAGAGACGGGUUUCGCCAUUUUGGCCAGGCUGGUCUAGAACUCCUGACCUCAGGCCGUCUACCUGCCUCGGCCUCCCAAACUGCUAGGAUUAUAGGUGUGAGCCACUGUACCCAGCCAGAAUGUGGAUUUUUUAAAUUUUGUUUUCUUCAUGUUGUUACGAAGUUGUCUAAUACAUUUCUAACAUCUUUUUGUUAUAUCAGCACUUUAUGGAGGACUAGAAGGCAUCAGUCCAUAUCCCCAAAAUAUGGUGUCUUGUUGUACUGUGGUGCCUCUUAACAAAUGAUUGUAUUCAUUUGUGGCCUUCUAAAAGAGUGACUGCUUUUCUGAGAGUCUUUUACCUACUCCCAGAAAGUUAUUUACUCUGUGGGACAGUUCAUUCUGUUGCAUCUUAUCUGAGUACUUAAAGCCCCAAGGAAGAAGAUGAUAUUUGCCAGUACAUAAACUGACAUUUUGGCACCUAAUCUUUGACUUUAAGAAGAACCAGAGGACCCUUGAUGGUUCCAGUGAGCCCUGGGUCUUCUGUGCUUUCGUGGCGAAGGCCUCUUUCAGAGGACACACCACGGCAGCCCCUGCUCCUCAAGUCUCAGAAGGCCUGAACCCAUGGUAGCUGGAAAUAAUAGCUUGACAUUCCUCCCUCAUUUUAAACUGUGAUUUUUUUUUUAAACACUCUUCUUGACCUUUUCUUUGAAGGAGGAACAAAACAGGGAAAACAUUGCUCUUCAGUACACUAGUGAAUUAUUUUGACAAUGGCAGUCUCCCGAAACAGGCUACCAUGUCAUCCCUACGCUUUUCUCUUGUGUGUCUUUGAUUGGGUGUCAUUGCCAGUCCUUACAGAAAUUGGCUUCUGGCCCCCAAUAGUCACUGUCUAUCGGCAGGACCUAUCACAUAAUUGCUAUCUUGAAAGCACCAUCUGGGCAGCUCAGUGUUU